UCUUUCAACUGCAUGUGAAAGAUAUUCGAUGAAGAUGACUGACAAUGUCGUUUAUUCUGUAUUAGAGUUUUCUAUGGCACCUCAAGCCCAAAAUGACCACAGGCUGCAGCCGAAAGCUUCUUCAAGAUCCUCUCUCUCUUGCUAUGUGGCAGUAGCUUUGGGGCUUCUGGGUGUCAUUCUAGCAAGUUUGCUGCUCUUCCAGUGGAUUCUGUGCCAGGGUUCCACGGUCUCCACGUGUGCCAGCUGUCCUAGCUGCCCCGACCUCUGGAUGGGGCACGGUGACCACUGUUACUACUUCUCAGUGGAGAAAAAGGACUGGAAUUCUAGCUGGGAAUUCUGCUUGGCCAAAGAUGCACAUCUCUUUAUGUUUAGAGACAAUCAGGAAAUGGUACUGAUCCAAAAUUUCCUCCAAAAUGACUUUUACUGGAUUGGUCUGAGAAACACUUCUGACUGGAGGUGGGAAGAUGGAUCAGCCCUAAAUACCUCAAAAAUUUCUUCAAAUAGCUAUGUACAGAAGUGUGGUACCAUCAGCAAAGAUGGUCUCCUAGCCUCUAGCUGUGAAGUCUCUUUGCCAUGGGUGUGUAAGAAGGUCAGACUUCGAUAAGUGGUCAGUCUGUCGUGUAGCUCCCUAAAAAGAGGGAGUUGGCCUCUGGGCAUCAGCAUUUGGAAGUACUUGGGCCAGGGAUUGAAUCUUCGCUGAAGCUGCAUCUUACACCACAGCUGUACGCCAGAUCCUUGACUCACUGAGCCAGGCUGGGGGUUGAACCUGUGUUUCAGCAGCAACUGGAGCCACUGCAGAGGCUACAGCUGGAUCCUUAACCCUCAGCGCCACAGUGGGAAUGCCUGGGAUUGAUGGUUUCUCGCCGGACUCUCUUUGAGAAUAUUUAGAUAUUAUCUAAACAAUUUAAGACUGAAUGUAGGCAAGUUUGUGAAAUAGAUAAGGUUUGUUUUUCCUAUUUCUCAUUGUAGGACCUAAGGCUGCCUCUUCCACCUCCAUCAUCUCUGUUAGAUUUUUUUUUUUUUUUUUUUUUGUCUUUUUGCUAUUUCUUUGGGCUGCUCCCACGGCAUAUGGAGGUUCCCAGGCUAGGGGUCGAAUGGGAGCUGUAGCCACUGGCUUACGCCACAGCCACAGCAACGCGGGAUCCGAGCCGUGUCUGCAACCUACACACAGCUCACGGCAACGCCGGAUUGUUAACCCACUGAGCAAGGGCAGGGACUGAACCCGCAACCCCAUGGUUCCUAGUCGGAUUCGUUAACCACUGCGCCAUGAUGGGAACUCCUGUAUGUUAUAUUCUGAGCUGAACUGAUGACAUCUAUGCAAAUAUGAGCUGCUGCCAGUAUGCUACCCCUCCCUGAUCAUAUAUUUUUAUUCUCACAUUGGUCCUUUGCAUAGAAAGCUUUAAAGAAUAAUGCUAAUGAUGAGAAAAUGAGGUGUGGAAGGUGGAUGAGAGCAGGGUGUUGCUUUGAUUCUCAGCUCUUCACGCUUACUUAAAAUGCUGGCCUUAACUGAAUGUAGCCUUUCUGAGAAUGCACAAGCGUGGUUGAAUAAACCAGUGUGUGACUAAUCAUGUCAUGAAUAUGAUUUGCACGUUUAUUUCACCUGGUAAAAUAGAGGAGAAUUUACAGAAGCAGUUUAUGUGGUUGCUCCCCAAACGAUUUUUGGCACACAUGCCUCAAAAGUGAGAAGACUUUUCUUAUUUCUCCUUAGAACAGUUGGGCAUAGAUAAGGAGAGCAGAUGUCAUUUGAAGACAAAGGAAGGAGUGAUGAAGGAGACCAUAAUUCUGUACUAUUGAUGCCACUGGAUUGUGACAUUCACUUGUCUUUCUCUUUUGUCGUGUUUUUAGGACAUGGACUGAAGCUUUUCCACCCUUGUUUUCCAAACACCUAAAGUAGCGCUUGCUUGUAUCAGUGAAUGUGACAUACAUGAAUGGAUAAAUAAAAAAAUAAGAGUUUUAAAA
rnacentral:lncRNA from 1 species